rnacentral:rRNA from 1 species
CCAUAAACCUAUACUUCUUUAGUUGGUUGACCUCGGAUCAGGUAGGAAUACCCGCUGAACUUAAGCAUAUCAAUAAGCGGAGGAA